GGCGGCAUGGCCAAGCGGUAAGGCAGGGGACUGCAAAUCCUUUAUC
rnacentral:tRNA from 1 species